UACGUAGGGUGCAAGCGUUGUCCGGAAUUAUUGGGCGUAAAGGGCUCGUAGGCGGUUUGUCGCGUCGGGAGUGAAAACCCAGGGCUUAACCCUGGGCCUGCUUCCGAUACGGGCAGACUAGAGGUAUGCAGGGGAGAACGGAAUUCCUGGUGUAGCGGUGAAAUGCGCAGAUAUCAGGAGGAACACCGGUGGCGAAGGCGGUUCUCUGGGCAUUACCUGACGCUGAGGAGCGAAAGCAUGGGGAGCGAACAGG
rnacentral:rRNA from 1 species